rnacentral:rRNA from 1 species
UACGUAGGCAGCAAGCGUUGUUCGGAAUUACUGGGCGUAAAGAGUUCGUAGGCGGCCAACUAAGUCAUACGUGAAAUCCCUCGGCUUAACCGGGGAACUGCGUCUGAUACUGGAUGGCUUGAGUUCGGGAGAGGGAUGCGGAAUUCCAGGUGUAGCGGUGAAAUGCGUAGAUAUCUGGAGGAACACCGGUGGCGAAGGCGGCAUCCUGGACCGAUACUGACGCUGAGGAGCGAAAGCCAGGGGAGCAAACGGG